rnacentral:lncRNA from 1 species
UUCACAUAAAAAUUAAAAAAAUGGAUAGAGUGAUGUAAAACACAAAUUUACAUAAUCAAUUGCAUAAUUAGAGAGAAAAUAAUAAAUAGAUUCAAUCAAUUGCAAGAAAAAUAGGAGGAGGGGGAAGAAUAGAGGGAGGGGCGGAAUCCCAGAAGAAGAAAAUUGAAAAGACGAAAAUGUGAUUCAAACGAAGAAGAAGACUGUGAGAAGACAUACCUGGGAUGAGAGCAAGAUGGCGUCUGGAGAGGAAGAGAAUGAAACGCUGCGUUAAGAGGUUGCGGUGGUGGUGGUGGGGGGAAUCGAAAUUUUGGGGAAAGAAUGGGGAAGUUGAGGGAAAUAGGAUGAUGGUCUUUCAAAAAAGGGAGCUGUGGGAUUUUGCUAAAUUUUUGGUUCGAAGAUUUUUGUCAGAUCUGGUGGAAAAUGGAAAAAUGAAAAGAAAUGGAAGGAGGGUAAAACGGAAGAUUGCGUCGGGAGAGAAAGCGGAAGAUUGCGUCGGGAGACAAGAGAGCCC